rnacentral:rRNA from 1 species
UACGUAGGGUGCGAGCGUUUAAUCGGAAUUACUGGGCGUAAAGCGUGCGCAGGCGGUGAUGUAAGACCGAUGUGAAAUCCCCGGGCUUAACCUGGGAACUGCAUUGGUGACUGCAUUGCUGGAGUAUGGCAGAGGGGGGUGGAAUUCCACGUGUAGCAGUGAAAUGCGUAGAGAUGCGGAGGAACACCGAUGGCGAAGGCAGCCCCCUGGGCUGACACUGACGCUCAGGCACGAAAGCGUGGGGAGCAAACAGG